rnacentral:tRNA from 1 species
GGGCCCUAUAGUUGAACUGGAUACAACGCAGGAUUCCUAAUCCUGAGCUCGAGGUUCGGUCCCGUAGGGGCCCA